rnacentral:rRNA from 1 species
UGGGGAAUUUUGCGCAAUGGGCGAAAGCCUGACGCAGCAACGCCGCGUGGGUGAUGAAGGUCUUCGGACUGUAAAACCCUGUCGUCAGGGACGAAGGUGCGCUCGCUAACAUCGGGUGUACUUGACGGUACCUGGAGAGGAAGCCCCGGCUAACUCUGUGCCAGCAGCCGCGGUAAUACAGAGGGGGCAAGCGUUAUUCGGAAUUAUUGGGCGUAAAGGGCGCGUAGGCGGCUUUUUAAGUCGGAUGUGCAAUCCCCGAGCUUAACUUGGGAACUGCAUCCGAGACUGGGAGGCUAGAGUACUGGAGAGGUUGGUGGAAUUCCACGUGUAGCGGUGAAAUGCGUAGAGAUGUGGAGGAACACCAGUGGCGAAGGCGGCCAACUGGACAGUAACUGACGCU